GAGGCCAAACCAGAGAUAGCAAUAUCUUUGGGGUUGCGGACUGCGUAAUUGAUUCAAUAUUUUUAGCAGAAGUGUAUGGGAAGACACACCAUAGUAGGUAAUAGUCCUGUAAGCGAAAAGGAUAUUGACAAGGCAGGAUCCAGAGUACCACCGGACACGAGGAACCCGGUGGGAAGCCGGGGGGACCACCCCCCAAGCCUAAAUACUACCUGAUGACCGAUAGUGAAAAGUACAGUGAUGGAAAGUUGAAAAGAACCCCGGAAGGGGAGUGAAAAAGAAUCUGAAACCCUAUGUUUACAAGCUGCUAAAGCACCAUAUGAGUGCGAUAGCGUACUUUUUGUAGAACGGUCCGGCGAGUGUAUGUUGCAAGCGAGGUUAAGGUGUUAAGCACUGAAGCCGAAGGGAGACCGAGUGUGAAUAGCGCGUACAGUUUGCAGUAUACGACCCGAAACCGGGUGACCUAACCAUGGACAGGUUGAAGUGGAAGUAAAAUUCCAUGGAGGACCGAACCCACGUCUGUUGAAAAAGGCGGGGAUGAGCUGUGGUUAGCGGUGAAAUUCCAAUCGAACUCGGAUAUAGCUGGUUCUCAUCGAAAUAGCUUUAGGGCUAGCCUCAGGAUAGUUUAGCGGAGGUAAAGCACUGAAUGGGCUAGGGGGCUUCACGGCUUACCGAACCCUAUCAAACUCUGAAUGCCGCAUAAAUGUUUCCUGGGAGUCAGACUGCGUGAGAUAAGUUUCGUAGUCAAAAGGGAAAGAGCCCAGACCUACAGCUAAGGUCCCUAAAUGAAUUUAAGUGGAAAAGGAUGUGCAGUUGCGUAGACAACUAGGACGUUGGCUUAGAAGCAGCCACUCAUUCAAAGAGUGCGUAAUAGCUCACUAGUCGAGUGAUUGUGCGCCGAAAAUGUAACGGGGCUAAAAUUCAUACCGAAGCUUAGGAAUGAUAGUAAUAUUGUUGGUAGAUGAGCGUUGUGUAAGUCUGCGAAGCUACACCGAAAGGAGUAGUGGAGAUAUCACAAGUGAGAAUGCCGGAAUGAGUAGCGAGAAUUAUGUGAGAAUCAUAAUGGUCGAAAAUCUAAGGUUUCUUGAGGAAGGUUCGUCCGCUCAAGGUAAGCCGGGAGCUAAGGCGAGGCCGAGAGGCGUAGUCGAUGCACAUACGGUAAAGAUUCCGUAGCCACCGAAGUCGUUAAAUACAGGGACACAGGAACAUAGCCUAACCCCACCGUUGGUUGAGUGGGGCGUAAGGGAGCGAAAAUUAGUAGCGAAGUAGGUGAUUGUACACUGGCGAGAAAAGCUGUAUGGAUUGACAAGGUGCCCGUACCGCAAACCGACACAGGUAGAUGAGGAGAGAAUCCUAAGACCAGCGGGAGAAGUGUUGUUAAGGAACUCGGCAAAAUGACCCCGUAACUUCGGGAUAAGGGGAGCCUACGCGAGUAGGCCGCAGAGAAUAGUCUCAAGCGACUGUUUAGCAAAAACACAGGUCUAUGCUAAAUCGAAAGAUGAUGUAUAUGGGCUGACGCCUGCCCGGUGCUGGAAGGUUAAGGGGAAGUGUUAGAGCAAUCGAAGCACUGAACUUAAGCCCCAGUAAACGGCGGCCGUAACUAUAACGGUCCUAAGGUAGCGAAAUUCCUUGUCAGGUAAGUUCUGACCCGCACGAAUGGCGUAACGACUUGAGAGCUGUCUCAACAACAUACCCGGCGAAAUUGAAGUACUGGUAAAGAUGCCAGUUACCCGUGAUAAGACGGAAAGACCCCAUGGAGCUUUACUGUAACUUGAUAUUGAAUUUUUGUAUUACAUGUACAGGAUAGGUGGGAGACAGAGAACCAAUGCCGCUAGGUGUUGGGGAGUCGAUGUUGGGAUACCACUCUUGUAAUAUGAAGGUUCUAACCUGCACCCGUGAAUCCGGGUGGGGGACACUGUCAGGUGGGCAGUUUGACUGGGGCGGUCGCCUCCUAAAAGGUAACGGAGGCGUUCAAAGGUUGGUUCAGCACGGACGGAAAUCGUGCAACGAGUGCAAACGCAUAAACCAGCCUAACUGCGAGACCGACAAGUCGAGCAGUAACGAAAGUUGGAGUUAGUGA
rnacentral:rRNA from 1 species